rnacentral:rRNA from 1 species
CCUACGGGUGGCAGCAGUGGGGAAUAUUGCACAAUGGGGGAAACCCUGAUGCAGCGACGCCGCGUGAGCGAUGAAGUAUUUCGGUAUGUAAAGCUCUAUCAGCAGGGAAGAAAAUGACGGUACCUGACUCAGAAGCCCCGGCUAACUACGUGCCAGCAGCCGCGGUAAUACGUAGGGGGCAAGCGUUAUCCGGAUUUACUGGGCGUAAAGGGAGCGUAGACGGUUCUGCAAGCCAGAUGUGAAAGCCCGGGGCUCAACCCCGGGACUGCAUUUGAAACUGUAAGGCUAGAGUGUAGGAGAGGCAGGCGGAAUUCCUGGUGUAGCGGUGAAAUGCGUAGAUAUUAGGAGGAACACCAGUGGCGAAGGCGGCCUUCUGGACUAUGACUGACGUUGAGGCUCGAAAGCGUGGGGAGCAAACAGGAUUAGAUACCCGUGUAGUC